rnacentral:rRNA from 1 species
AUACGUAGGGGGCGAGCGUUGUCCGGAAUGAUUGGGCGUAAAGGGCGCGUAGGCGGCGCGGUAAGUCUGGAGUGAAAGUCCUGCUUUCAAGGUGGGAAUUGCUUUGGAUACUGCCGCGCUUGAGUGCAGGAGAGGUUAUCGGAAUUCCCGGUGUAGCGGUGAAAUGCGUAGAGAUCGGGAGGAACACCAGUGGCUAAGGCGGGUAACUGGACUGCAACUGACGCUGAGGCGCGAAAGUGUGGGGAGCAAACAGGAUUAGAUACCCUGGUAGUCCACACUGUAAACGAUGAAUGCUAGGUGUAAGAGGUAUCGACCCCUUUUGUGCCGGAGUCAACGCAAUAAGCAUUCCGCCUGGGGAGUACGGCCGCAAGGUUGAAACUCAAAUGAAUUGGCGGGG